rnacentral:lncRNA from 1 species
AAAAUUCUAGCUGACACCAUCCAACUAGCUAUCCGUGUGCAUCCUUCCAUGUGCAGCUUAGAAUGAAGUGAGUUGUGUGCUUUCAAAAUAAAUAAAUGAAAAUGACUUCCUCUCGGUGGUGGCUGGCAGCGUGCUGGAAUAAGCGAAUAUGCUGCAAUGCGUUUAAUCGGAAAAGUGCAGCAGUAAAAUGAAAAAUGGCAAAGAGUAAAGUCACAGUAAAUUGAAAUUAACGUUUGCAAAAAGAAAAGUGUGCUCUUCAAUCAACCAACUCCCAUCAACUUGAAAACCAUGUUCCGAUCCUCCUCCAAAGAAAACGUUCUAGCCGAGUGUGCUAAGAAAAGUGACGUCUGUUAAUCCCUAGGCCAUGACGUAUAGCUGAAAAAAUGUGUGGGGUCC